rnacentral:rRNA from 1 species
AUUGAACGCUGGCGGCAUGCCUUACACAUGCAAGUCGAACGGUAACAGGUCUUCGGAUGCUGACGAGUGGCGAACGGGUGAGUAAUACAUCGGAACGUGCCCGAUCGUGGGGGAUAACGAAGCGAAAGCUUUGCUAAUACCGCAUAAGAUCUACGGAUGAAAGCAGGGGACCGCAAGGCCUUGCGCGAACGGAGCGGCCGAUGGCAGAUUAGGUAGUUGGUGGGAUAAAAGCUUACCAAGCCGACGAUCUGUAGCUGGUCUGAGAGGACGACCAGCUACACUGGGACUGAGACACGGCCCAGACUCCUACGGGAGGCAGCAGUGGGGAAUUUUGGACAAGGGGCGCAAGCCUGAUCCAGCCAUGCCGCGUGCAGGAUGAAGGCCUUCGGGUUGUAAACUGCUUUUGUACGGAACGAAAAGACUCUGGUUAAUACCUGGGGUCCAUGACGGUACCGUAAGAAUAAGCACCGGCUAACUACGUGCCAGCAGCCGCGGUAACAC